GGUCCGGUGGUGUAGUUGGUUUAUCACAUCUGCUUCACAGGUCGUUCGACUGGAAAAUAACUGGGCAUAUUUACUUGUAUCGCAGGCGGUCCUCGGUUCGAUCCCGGGUCGGAUCA